AUAGUUUUUGUAACAUCAUUUCUCAAAAUUCUGUAUAUCUGUACAUACACGCAAAAAUCUGUAUAUCUGCACAUACAGAUUCUUGGUCUGAAAAUGGCUGAAAAAUCUGUAUAAAUACAGAUUAUUCUGUAUUUUUGGUAACCCUGUCCAGAUAUAUACACUCAAGCUCGUAUGCAUAGAACCACCUAGUUGGCGUGUUUGAAUUUGAUGGGUGAGCUUAGCCCAUAAAUUUCCCUAAUUUGACAUCUACAUCCAGCGAUGCCAGAUUUACAGACAUGUCUGUAUUUUACAGACUUUUGAUGUCUCCUACAGACGUAGCCAGAGAUCUACAGACUUUUAAAAUGGUAAUAGUGUUUAGUAAAAUUGCACUAGAAUAACUAUUUUCGAAUACGAGUGAUUCCUUUACAAUAGAAUUCUACUUUCAAUCUAUUUUUAAAGUAAAAGUUUAGCGUAAUUACAAUUUACACAACCAUCUACAGACUUUUACAGACAUUUUAGUUAUUUUUCUACAGACAUUUCAAAAAAACAUGUGGCAUCGCUGUCUACAUCAGUCAAUAGAUGGAUCCACCAUGAAAAGGGUUACGAAAUCGGAAACAAACCAUACGUCAAACUUCGGGCUAGUUCGGAGUUUGGGUUUCCACCAACUUCACUAGUGAGCUUGGCAUAUUAACAAGAUUACUUCUUUCCGUCGGUGUCCAUCCCAGAGAAUGGACGUGCGCGUCGCGUUGAACUUAAGUAAUUGUAAAGUGUUGGAAAUUACAGCAAAGUGUGUGAAAUUGUUAAAUUAGAACAGAGCAAGUUAGUUAAAAGACAAGUUAAAAAGUAGAAACACCACAUUACAGCUAAACGACAAGUUAAGAACGGUAACAGUACGAGGAUAAAAUUGUAAAACAAAACCUAGCAACGCUAUAGGACAAGUUAAAAAGCUACACAUAAAGGAAAAGGUCCGUCAAACGGGCCUUUUUUCCUACGUAUGAUCCGAUUUCGGAUCAAGGUUCUAGUCUAUUUCCUUCAAUAGGACCCGUACGGCUCGUAAACUACGAGGUGUUGAAGGUUCAACCUAGCCGCACCAGCCACGUGUCGCUAUGUUAUCACACAGAUCAAUGCACGGACGGAAAUUUACAGACCGGAAGAUAGCCCAAUACAAAAAGGGACUUCUCACCGGUUGGCUGAGCCGAACGACGAUCAGCAACGGCCAAUGUUUCGAAGGCCUAUUCUGCGGAACCAUCUACACCAGCAGGUUUUGCAGAAACCAGAACUACAACCACGAUGAUUGUCUGCUGCAAACAGACUCCAAGCAACGCCGCUGCAAACCCCGGGGUUCUACGAUAGACAACGAACGAAAAUCCAGCAUUAGCAAAACCGCAAGUACAAACGUGUCGUCACCAAUUAGAGCCUCCAAAUUAUAUUUUUUUGUAAAGUUUAGCUUUAGAAUAUACGUUUAGUUUUAAGAAUUUCACACCUUCUUUUGCAUACAAUCCGGGUUUAUAAAGAAACCAGCAGGCCUCGCUCUGGAAGGGUUAGUUGGGGAAGAUCGAAUCUUGUGGCUUUUGAGCAGCCCUAUGGUAGGAAAACGGUUUCAUUUCCCUCGUCACGUAACCCAUCAAUUGACAGGUGAGAGGUCUACCUGUACGGUUCUCCCACAGGUGAGUGGAAUGCAAACUCUGCUGACAAACGACCCUGCUGAUCCACCAUCCCCUCUGCACGUAACAAAACAAGAUGUCCGAGUUACAUUCGAAAGAAGCUCUAAUGUGGUUCAACCGAGUUCAAUCAAUGUUCUUGAACGGGAAGUCGGAAUCGGGUCUUUUCAAGAACGUUUAUUAGUUCCCGGGCCUCAACCUCGGCGCAACGUGAAAAUUUAAAGAAUACGAAGGCAAAGACAGAAAUUACGGAAGAUAUAAUAAAUUUAAGGACAAGCCAAAAGAUAGUAAAGCAAAUAUGUGGUUAUUCCGGGGGUACGCAAGGGAAGACAUUCUUAACGGUUUUUAACCGAAACUGUUUUGUUACGUCAGCAAAACUUUUUACGUGAUUAUCUAUAAAUGAGCAAACAUCCGACUGCAUUGUAACAUUACUUUGACCCUCCCAAUUCACAAAAGAACUUGGCGUAAUUGAACUGAAACACCUGCUUCUCGUUGUGUCAGUGGGAUGCUACAUCUUACCUUUAUCUGAAGUCUUCCGGGGAUUCAUAUUCGCCGCGGCAUAUUCGCCAAUGCCGUUCUGAUCACCGCCUUAGGAGAGCGGAGCCAUUUCCACGUACAUACGAAAUCAUUGUUCGUAAGUUGAACUAAAAAGAAUGACAAAGUCAACACUAAAGGGGUGUAAAAGGCCAGAAGCUCACACUACGGCGCUGUCUAUGGAAUACGUUGUAGUAUAGUAUAGAUUUUACAGGUUUUAUUGAUGCAGCGCACUAAAAGUGUGAUCCACCAGACAUAUGUUUCGUUUUGGUUAUUAUUAUGAUCGCCAAUGAGUUUUAAUUUUUCAUACAGCACGUCAAUAAUUAAAAUUACCCUUAUUAUCCUUCUUUAUAUCAUGAGCUGUUCUUUCGAAUUAUAAACCGUUCGAUCCAAACGACAGCCAACUUUAUCAUUUCUGGAUAUAGCCAAAUUUUCCAAACGAUGAUUUAUUGAAUGCAUUUUCAUAUAUUGAAUCAACGGUUGUUACACUGCUGCGAAUCCAGUGUAAUGCAAAGCCGCUGAGGAUCGGUCGGAUGAGGUGGCCGCCGACCCGCCGUCGGAACCGGUGGCCCCUUGCAAGCAAACCCGUGAUCCACUCGUUGGCCUGGAUUACUUAAACAUAGAAUUAGUUUAAGUCCGACGGAGCGACAGCGAUUUCGGACAGCACGCGACUUGAAGCGAUGUGGCCUAACCACAAUAGGCAUAAAUGUGGGGGCGGGCCAUUUGGCGUAAAGUCAUUUGCCAAAAUGAACAUAUGGCAUAACGGUUAUUUGGCAUAAUUUUGAGAAUUGAUCAC